CUGACAAGUGAUCAUCCUUUUGUUAUCCAUCAAAUAGCCAAUUUCCUUGAAAACUUCCAGUCAGGGGGAAUCAAAUCCUCUAUUGAGGAAGGCAACCAAAAUGCUGAGGUCCUUUCCAGCUCUCACAUCCUAUGCUUUAAGGGUUUUUUCUGUACUGGCAUUUAAUUAUAAUGUUUCUUCCAGGUCUGAUAUACUGAUUCCAGUGGAAUUACAUAGGUAAAGGGAUAUUAAAUUCCCCCACUGAAAAGAAACUUGCUAUAGAACUCAAAUCCCCCUAUUACUGGCACUGGGCCUUUCUGCAAUGAGUCCGAGACAGGAAGAAAUGAGGAAAAUGGUGAGACUUCCACAUUUCCACUGGGAAACCGAGACAAUGUUCGUCAAGAGGAUAUCAGACAGUGAACUUUUCAUACCAGCCCUAUAUUCCAAUUUAAAAAGAGGUAAAUAAUCAGUGAAGUGGAUAGUGUGCUGGACUUGGAAGCAAGAAGACCCCACAGAGAUCAAGACCACCACCUCAGAUACUUCCCAGC
rnacentral:lncRNA from 1 species